UAACUGAAGAGUUUGAUCAUGGCUCAGAUUGAACGCUGGCGGCAGGCUUAACACAUGCAAGUCGAGCGGGGGAAGGUAGCUUGCUACUGGACCUAGCGGCGGACGGGUGAGUAAUGCUUAGGAAUCUGCCUAUUAGUGGGGGACAACAUCUCGAAAGGGAUGCUAAUACCGCAUACGUCCUACGGGAGAAAGCAGGGGAUCUUCGGACCUUGCGCUAAUAGAUGAGCCUAAGUCGGAUUAGCUAGUUGGUGGGGUAAAGGCCUACCAAGGCGACGAUCUGUAGCGGGUCUGAGAGGAUGAUCCGCCACACUGGGACUGAGACACGGCCCAGACUCCUACGGGAGGCAGCAGUGGGGAAUAUUGGACAAUGGGGGGAACCCUGAUCCAGC
rnacentral:rRNA from 1 species